ensembl:piRNA 21ur-501 ncRNA
UACAUACUCAUUGAAUGGUAG